GGUCCACAGUGCUUGCGCCAGUUUCCUGGUGUCCCCGAAUGCUGGACACAAGGGAAUCAAAUCAGGAUUGAGGGACAGGACCCCAUAAUCGGGACUAUCCUGACAAAAUCCCGACUAUUGGGGGCUUAAAUGUGUUCUCUAGUCAGGUGCCCACAAUUUCCAAGUUAUAGGCUAAUCACCAGGGUUAUUCACAAAAUUGGAAACUACCAGAAUUGCAAAUUUAAGGCAAAAAUAGCUGAGUGGGAAACUGAUAGUUUUGGAGAAUUUCCCCACUUUUGGCCUCACUGUUAAACUUCCAUAGUUUAUUUCUGCCUUUCGCACAUUAUUGAAAAACACUUCAACAAUUGCAAUCUGACGGAAAAAAAAAGGUUACAAACAAAAUUAAAUUGUAUAAUAUUCACCACUGGAAUCACUGCAUCACUCAGAUUUGGGUAAAGUUCAAUCAGCACUCCAGAUUCCUGCAUGCAGUGACAAUGAUAUGUUGGAUAUAUAUACGGAUUUACUUAAGCCUUUUCCUCCAGGCUGUUCAAUUUUAGUGAAGGAUUCUUAGCUGCAUGAUCCCAAAGAGGACAGAAAAGCGAGCCAUUUUUAGUAGAGAACAUUACACCUACUCACUUCCAUAAUCAAAAUUAAUUUGUAGCUCAGCAUUCUAAAAAUGGUUUUGGUCCCAGAAAGUGUAUUAGUUGUAAAUUGUAAAAAUCCUUGUUAUCG